rnacentral:rRNA from 1 species
UACGUAUGUCGCAAGCGUUAUCCGGAAUCACUGGGCAUAAAGGGCAUCUAGGCGGUAAUAUAAGUCAGUGGUGAAAAGUUGUGGCUCAACCAUAAGAAUGCCAUUGAAACUGUAUUACUAGAGUCUGAGAGAGGAGGGCGGAACUACAAGUGUAGAGGUGAAAUUCGUAGAUAUUUGUAGGAAUGCCAAUGACGAAGGUAGCUCUCUGGAUCGGUACUGACGCUGAAGUGCGAAAGCUAGGGGAGCGAACAGG